CCGGCCGGUGGCUGAGCCUGAGACCCCUGCUGUUCACAAUAACAGUGGAGGCUGGCUCAGCUGGGUCUUUGGGAGUGGAAGAGUUAAUAAGAAGGAGGUUCAUCUACCUGAGGACAAAGACAGAUCUAUUGUCUGGGAUCCAACUCUGCACAGAUGGGUUAACAAAACUGAGCCCAAGGCUGAGAACAAGUGUGUACCACCACCUCCACCGAUGGGGACAUAUGGAUAUCAGGGGAACACUGGCAGUGUCCCCAAAGGAGUGAAUCCUUACUCUAUGAAAGCAGGU